AAAAUUGUUCGGAAAAAAUGCUUUUAUUAUGUUUGGAUAUCUCAAAUUCGAAGAUUUAAUGAAUUUGCACUAACACCUGUCCUUAAAACAUUUCUAUAAUUCAUCCUGAGCCAGUUAUGCUACUAUAUAGUUUUUCGGAUUCCAGUGUUAAGUUCUGUUAUGACCUGUCUUCUUUAAUAGUUUGGCAUUGUAUCUCCCAUUAAUUGUAGAAUGAUGUACUAGACAGAAGUUGCUUUAUUGUUGCAUGUGGUAUGGUUUUAAUUGCACGUCUAUCUGAUAAUUAAAAAGCUGACUUAGAGGAUGUUUGGUGGGGAUUAAAAUUAGAUUUUUUAGUAGAUUGCGAUAGAAGUUUUUGAAAUGUGUUGUUGAAAAGUUGUGAGACCAAUGAAAGAUGUGGUUAAUAUUUAACUUUGACUUAUAUUAAAAUCAUAUUUUAAUCCUAACCAAACAGGCUCUUAGACUAAAAUUUUCUUAUAAGUGAAUAAAUUUCAAAAUAAAUAAUUCUAUUCGUGGUAUAAGUUGGAAAUAACUAAGUAUUUACUUUGUCACUAAGGUAAGACUUACUUCCAAAAGGUAACUUUUUUUUACUUGGAAGUAAGAAAAAAGUAGGUUAUUCAAACAUGUUUAGAGGCUAAAUGUUACUUUUACUUUCUUUUUUAAGUUUAGCCAACGUGCUUUUAGUAUUUUGUAAGGUACUUACGCUUUGGUUAGUUCUUUAACCAUGUCAAUGCCUUACUCGACAAACAAGUUUAAAAGAGUCAAAACUUUGAUCUUCAAAUACGUUUCACUAUCGCUCCAUCGCAUAAUAACUGUUGCAAUUUCAUCAAAAAGUUGUCCCAUUAGGGUCUUGCCUUUUCAUUUAAAGCAAGCUUUCCACAUAUAUUCAAACAACGAUUUUAAAAUUUAUGGGACCCACUUAAGUUCAAGAUAUACUUGAAACAAUCAAUUCAAUCACCUUCAGAAGCUUGGUCUGUCUCAAUAUGCCUUUUGUUAUAUUUAUGAGUUUAUCUCACUUAUUAAGUUACUAAUUUUUUUUUUUUUUUGGCACUGAUCAUGCUUUAGGUAAACAAUAUUGACGCUGAAGAAAGACUUACAGUUGCAGAUGCUUUGGUAUAUGCUUGCAACCAAGGAGUGGAUAAAGUACACUUACAUGCCUUUACUUUUGCAUCUCUUUGGAAAACACCAUUUUUAUGGGUUUUAUUCUCUCAUCAGUUGUCCAUGUAUUUCGUUUUCUGGAACGAGUACCUAAAACGCACGAGAUAUAUGAUACACAAAUUUAAAACCUUUGAAUAAGUCAUGACACUAAAAUUUUAGGGUUCACUUUGGAUUUUGAUAUGUGUUUUUAAUCAUUUGCAGAUCGUUGAUUUGGCCACAUUGACUGGGGCUUGUUUGUUGCUCUUGGGCCCUCUAUUGCUGGUAUGUAAUUUAUAAAUCUUAUUUGUCCUGUAUUCUUUGAGAACCACCUCCGAUCCAAUAGAUUUUUUGGCUUCUUUUCAAUUUGAAAUUCAUAAAAUGUUCUUAACAUGGAGAUUCGUUGUGAAGAUCCUUGCACUGGCUUAUUCUUGAUAUAAAAAAUCAGGUGUUUUUACACCCAGUGAUGACCUGGCAAAUGAGGUAUUUGCAGCUUCAGAGGUUAGUGGGGAAAAACUUUGGUGGAUGCCCCUGGAGGAAAGUUAUUGGGAGUCCAUGAAAUCUGGAGUGGCUGAUAUGGUGAACACCGAUGGUCGCCAAGGUGGUUCCAUCACUGCAGCUCUUUCCUUGAAGCAGGUAUAGCUUCCUCCGCACCCCUUAUUCCAUGCUGAAGAUUAAGUUUGUUUUACGUUUUAAGCUUUUUACAUACAAUUUGAAAAAGAACUAUGGAAUUGCAAUUCUCGAACAAGCAAUCGAAAAGAUUCUGGAGCAUCCUCCAUUUUAGUUGUUACGAUAAUUGCCUAAGUUGUAGUUUUGAACAAUUCUUAUAGCAAGUCGAUUUCAAAUCUAGAAUAUUGGCUAUUCCGAAAAGAAUUUCAAAAUUUAACCAAUGGGCUUCUUUUUCUGAUGGCAAAAAAUAAUAAAAUAAAAAAAUCUUGUUAUGUUCCUUUUAAUCAGAGGAAAUCACUUGAUUGAAUAUGGAAAAAUUGGGUGCUGCCAUGUAGCUUAAUAUCAGCUAUGUUCAUGAGUUGAAGAUGCAUGGGUCAUUAGUGGGAGUUUAGUUUGUGCAUGGGCGUGGGUUACUUAAGUGUCGCAACAACUGAUACUCAUUUGGAGAUGUUUGCAAAUUUGACCAAUUGAGGCAGGUGAUUUUUUUAGUUGGCAAACUAACACUCCAAAUGGUGAAAGAAUCGCCCCCUCUCCAUGUCUACUGGAUCUGUUCUUGGGGAUAAGGAAAUUUUUUAUGGAUCAUUGGACAUUUUAGUUCAUCUGAAGGUCUAGAUAUGAUUGCAUAGAUUCUCUUCUUGUCUUUCCUUAAAUUACAUUUUUCCCUUCCCCUAGUUUUCUACUAAAUUCUGCAUUUUUAUUUCAUGAAUUUGAACCUCUGCACUUCAUGAAAACAGAUUUUCUUCCGAAUUUCUUAGAAAAAUUUAUUAGAUAAUACGUGUUAUAUUCCAAAGUUAUCCCAGUUCUAGCCUCUAUAAAUGCUGUAUACCAUAAGAAUUUGUUUGUAAGGUGGACUAUACAAUACUAGGCACUAUUAAGGAAGAAAAAAAUGUUAAAUCUAGUCUAUUGUAUUGCGUACCAAAGAUGUUCUAAAAGUUCUCUAAAUGUAUACCUUACAACGCUUUGUGUUUGUGGGGUGGGGGGCCCUAAUAAAGUGAAACCCAAAUGAGCUCCGACUAAUAAUAGAUUAAGAAACGAAAGCACGUGUUUGAGACUAUAAGUUGUUCCCUAGUCUGUCUCAGUGAAGGCACCUGACAUGUAACUCCGUACAUGCAGUUUGUUGAUGAGAAGGUCCAGUGGAUGCACAUUGACAUGGCUGGCCCGGUUUGGAAUGAUAAGAAGAAAAUUGCAACUGGUUUUGGUAUUUCAACACUGGUUACAUGGGUUCUAAAGAAUUCUUCUUAGUUUGGGUGUCCGUGGGGCUGCUCAGAGGACAAAUACCUUAUAUCUGAAGUCGAUUCAAGAAAAAAUGGAAAAUUCUUAUUCAGGUUGUUCGAUGGCUGGGGUGUCGAGUUAUACUAAUAAAGAUGGUUAGAGAAGAAAACGAGGCCGUUGCUGCGUUCUGGAGUCGUGAACUCUUGUUACUGUUCCUUUAUAUUAUGAGAAGUUUCUUUUAUUUUUGGCCCUAUCAUCUUGUUCCUGGGAAAAUGAAAAUAUCCCAUGUUUCUGCAUGCAAAAUGUGAUGUAAAAUGAACGCAGAUUGUUCUCGAACUUUCCUCAGCAUGGUUUACCCCAGCAUAGCUUACCAAGGCUUGAUCUCGGGCAGGAUAAAAAAAUUUCAAUGCUAAUGUGACAAUAGAAUCUUAGUUAUGACUGUAGCAAAUUUUUAUUCUAUCCACUAAGGCAGGAGAUUAAUUUCAAUAUUUUACCACA
rnacentral:lncRNA from 1 species